CCUACGGGAGGCAGCAGUGGGGGAUAUUGCACAAUGGAGGAAACUCUGAUGCAGCGACGCCGCGUGAGGGAAGACGGUCUUCGGAUUGUAAACCUCUGUCUUUGGGGAAGAAAAUGACGGUACCCAAAGAGGAAGCUCCGGCUAACUACGUGCCAGCAGCCGCGGUAAUACGUAGGGAGCGAGAGUUGUCCGGAAUUACUGGGUGUAAAGGGAGCGUAGGCGGGCGGGAAAGUUGAAUGUUAAAUCUACCGGCUUAAAUGGUCGCUGCGUUCAAAACUUCUUGUCUUGGGUGAAGUAGAGGCAGGGGGAAUUGCUAGUGUAGCGGUGAAAUGCGUAGAUAUUAGGAGGGAAACCAGUGGCGGAGGGGGCCUGGUGGGCUUUAACUGACGCUGAGGCUCGAAAGCGUGGGGAGCAAACAGGAUUAGAUACCCGGGUAGUC
rnacentral:rRNA from 1 species